rnacentral:rRNA from 1 species
UGGCUCAGAACGAACGCUGGCGGCAUGCCUAACACAUGCAAGUCGAACGAGACCUUCGGGUCUAGUGGCGCACGGGUGCGUAACGCGUGGGAAUCUACCCUUGGGUUCGGAAUAACUCAGAGAAAUUUGAGCUAAUACCGGAUGAUGUCGCAAGACCAAAGAUUUAUCGCCCAAGGAUGAGCCCGCGUAGGAUUAGCUUGUUGGUGAGGUAAAAGCUCACCAAGGCGACGAUCCUUAGCUGGUCUGAGAGGAUGAUCAGCCACACUGGGACUGAGACACGGCCCAGACUCCUACGGGAGGCAGCAGUGGGGAAUAUUGGACAAUGGGCGAAAGCCUGAUCCAGCAAUGCCGCGUGAGUGAUGAAGGCCUUAGGGUUGUAAAGCUCUUUUACCCGGGAUGAUAAUGACAGUACCGGGAGAAUAAGCCCCGGCUAACUCCGUG